rnacentral:lncRNA from 1 species
GAGGUUCGCGCUGGUGGAGCACCCCAGCUUGCAGGUUCAGCGUGGGUGUCUCUCCCGGGCACAUCGAGCUGUCUAGAGGAACCCUCUUCCCCUGGCUUCACGGCCCAGAGGACGCACGGCUCUCUCCCCUCGAGAGCGUGUUUCGUCGCCCGCGCGGGGAACGCAAAGUGCUAGGGUAGUCACGGCCACUUCACGCCGAGGGACAUCUCAUCUCGCCCUCCAGGUCGUGAGCGCACCCAUUCCGCUCACUGAGGCCGAAAGCUUCGGACCUCCGUGGGCCCUGAGACUUCAGCGUUCCAUGUCUGCUGUGCUGUGGAACCCAGAGUGCUCUUGCCUGGAUGGCUGAGAAUCCCUUGGACCCUGGAAGCACCUACUCCAUGAUGGCCCGCAGGAGGACCAAACUGGAGACAGUCCUGGCUCUGAGGAAACAGGAAGGAAGGAGGGUGAAAGGAACGUCCACCUGCACACAAAGGAAAGAUGAAAAAGAGUCACCUACCAUGGGACCUGGCAAAGUACUUCAGAACUUUUAUUCCUUCCAGAAGCAGUGUAUCACAAUAGAUUGAAUCAAGAAGUGACAUUAAGGCCAGCGCGGUGGCUCACGCCUGUAAUCCCACCACUUUGGGAGGCCGAGGCGGGCGGAUCACGAGAUCAGGAGAUCAAGACCAUCCUGGCUAACAUGGUGAAAC